rnacentral:rRNA from 1 species
GACGAACGCUGGCGGCGUGCUUAACACAUGCAAGUCGAACGGUGAAGCGCCUUCCUUUUUGGUGGGUGUGGAUGAGUGGCGAACGGGUGAGUAACACGUGAGUAACCUGCCCCCUUCUUCUGGAUAACCGCAUGAAAGUGUGGCUAAUACGGGAUAUUCGGGGUCUGUCGCAUGAUGGGUCUGGGAAAGAUAUUGUUUCGGUGGGGGAUGGGCUCGCGGCCUAUCAGCUUGUUGGGGGGGUGAUGGCCUACCAAGGCGGUGACGGGUAGCCGGCCUGAGAGGGUGGACGGUCACACUGGGAAUGAGCCACGGACCAGACUACUACGGGAGGCAGUAGUGGAGAAUAUUGCACAAUGGGAGCAAGCAUGAUGCAGCGACGCGGCGUGGGGGAUGGCGUCCUUCGGGUUGUGAACCUCCUUCGCCAGUGAAGCAGGCCUGCCUCGUUUGUGGGUGGGUUGACGGUAGCUGGAUAAGAAGCGCCGGCUAACUCCGUG